rnacentral:lncRNA from 1 species
AUGAAACUUUGCUUCGUAGAAUCUUUGCUGCACUCUAAGAAGGCUUUGCAGACAUUAGAGAACUCUGGUGUUUCCCCGCUGCCUUGGAGGGUGAGGCACAGGGGGCUCCCCGGGCGCGGUUUCCCGGCGGUGGAGGCUCGGUCCCGGCCCUGGGGCAGGGGCUGUCACCGCGCUCUGGGCAGCCUGGACUUUCUGUCUGAGUCGCCGCUCGCCAUGGCAGACCCAGCUCCGCUUUCAGGAACCAGCCACCAGAUUCUCCAUUUCAGCUGGCCCGGGGGAAUUUGCGCCGCGGGGCUUUUCCUCAGCCCGUUCCCCGUGCCCGCUGUCCCCUGCCCGGGACAGCGCCGGUGCCCCGAGCAGGGGAAGCCCCGCUCCCUCCGGCCCCCGGGCGCGGCUCGGGCUCCCCGCUCCUCCCGCCGGAGCGAGGCAGCAUCGCCGAAAUCCAGGCGAGCCUCCCGGCCGCAGCUCCGGUACCGCGGUGAGCGCCCGCCCGGGGCCGCCGGGCUCAGGUACGGGAGAGGCGGGGAUGGGGGAGGGAUGGAGGGGAGCGGGAGGGAUGCAGGGAUGAGGGGAGGGAUGGAGGGGAGCGGGCCCCGCUGCGGAGAACCGCCCGCGGCCCCCGGACCCUCGGGCCCGCUCCCCGAACCGCGGCCCGGGAGCGCCCGGGGGGCAGCGGGGACUGCCCGGGCUCCGGCCGCUCCCCGAGCCCUGGGCCGGGACCCCCGGGCGGUGCCGGGCGAGCGGAGCCGGGGCUGGGCCAGCGGGCGGGGGCAGCCCCAGCAGCCCCAGCAGCCCCCCGCGACACCUCCGGCUCCGUUCGGCUGUGUCUGCCGGCUCCGUGCGGGGCUCCGGCAGGUUGGGCGGUCACUGCGGAGCUCCCGCCCGGCUGCCUGCAGAAACCACGGGAACCGGCUGAGGAAGGCCAUGGAAAAGCCUGGAUGUUCCCAGAGCAGAGCCUCAAGCCCAGGGUGUGCCGUGCCCACCUCACGGCACUCACCGCCAGCCCGGCCUGCCCACCGCAGCCUGGGCUCUUUGAUUUUCACAUUUCUUAGCGUGACUGCUGGUGAUACUGACACAGGUUAUGCUGUGUCGGUAUUGCUAUGGGGACAUAAUAGCUUUAUGGAGGGAUUAUUAUAA